rnacentral:rRNA from 1 species
UACGUAGGGGGCAAGCGUUGUCCGGAAUCAUUGGGCGUAAAGCGCACGUAGGCGGCCUAGCAAGUAGGGAGUGAAAGCCCUCGGCUUAACCGAGGAAGUGCUUUCUAAACUACUAGGCUUGAAUACUGGAGAGGGUCGCGGAAUUCCCGGUGUAGAGGUGAAAUUCGUAGAUAUUCGCAAGAACACCAGUGGCGAAGGCGGCUCACUGGCCCCGAUACUGACGCUGAGGCACGAAAGCGUGGGGAGCAAACAGG